AUUAUGUGAGCAGUCACUUUGGUCAUAUGAGGAAGCUAGCACCCCUCAGUUGGAUGACAAGGAUCUUUGAAGCAGAAAAAUUAUCGUAACCACCUCCCAGCACACACGUUCUCUGCAAGGCACCUUCUGGAUAAUGCUGCACUUGAUGAUCAAAAUUCCCAACAAUUCCUUCAUUUGUGAUGUGUGCAGCAAUGCAUGGGUAUAAAGAACAACAUGAGACCUACAAAUCAUCAUGCACAGAUGUCAGCAUUUUUAUUUUUAAAAAUAAUUCUAAUUGCUUUAUGAUUUGAGAUUUCCUUAAAAUGUUUAAAAUUUACCCAUGUUUAAUGCCCAUUAAGUAAUAAAAAAGAAAAAAAGAGUUUGUGGUUGUUACAGCCUAGAAAUGUAAAAGAUUACAACAGUUUGGUCCCUUAUUUUUAUUUUCAUGAUAAACCAGCUUGUUGUUUAUUAAUGCAUAAUGUGAUUAUGAACUUUCCACCUGCCCUAUCACUAAGUGGUACAUUGAAAAUCAUAGGACAGUGGGAUGAACAGGAGGAGGCCACAUGAGAUCCCUUCCAGUACUGUUGUCUGAGCUCCUGUGGAAAGAGUCCUCUGGAAAUUUUCCUUAAUGACACUGCAACUGAAAUCACAUUAAAAGUUGCAUCCAUGCCUUAUACAGUGUCGUGUGUACAGUAACCUGCUAGAAAUCUGUAGCUCACAGAAAUCAGAAGUAUCACAGUUUUCUUUCCAGACUAAGCAAACCUGCCACUUACUGUCAUAAAGAUGUCCUCUUCAGGUCACACUAUGUUGUUCAUCCCUGGCAACUUUUGAUGUAGUGUUACCAGUAAUCUUCAAAAGUUGCUAUGUUUUACCCAAAAAAUAUUAGAACUGACUGUAUGGUUAACAUCAAAACAUGAUAUGGGUGAGUAGUAAAAAACUUCUCCUUACUUUCAUGGUGCUGCAAAAAAUGAUUUGGAUACAGUAAAAAAAAAUUGUAAUUGCUCAGUAUAAAAAGGCAAACUAUGGUGGUGGGAGUUUUUUCAUUGUUUAAAUGGUUUUGUUUCUACUUUUGCUUCUCUGCUUCAUGUUUCCAUCAUUUACAAGAAGCAGAAUACUGAAACCACAAAAACUUAUUUUCACAGGAAUCUAACUGCAGUGAAAUCUCCCAAGAAAACUCAAUAUCUAGACUCCACGAUGAAGGUCCACUCCUCUGCCUCACCUGGAUUUAAGUCCUAUGUCAAUCAUGCCAUCAGGCUGCCUGUGUUCUCCAUUAGCCUCCUGCCUCUCCUGUCCUUCUCGCCCUCCCUACCCAGCCAACUCUGACUGUUCUCCAGAGUCUGAACACCAACGCUUCUGGAACUUACAGCUUCAAAAAAAUCACCAAAAACCCAGCUAUUUUCUACCAGAAUCCUAAUCCUGCAGUGCUCCUGCCAGCCUCCAACAGCCAGCACGCUUUCUGCAGUGCAAGAAGCACACAAGUUCUACGCGGCCUCCUGACAGUGGGACAGAGAGAGGGUGUCUCUAAAACUUAAACCAUUUAAAAAUCUGCCAUUUUAGCACUCAGUCAAGACUCUUUUUUCAUUACUUUUCACUAUGAGGAGUUUGCAAUCAUUUUCUCCAAUCAUUCCAGUCCUCUUUCUCUUUGCUGUAGCAAGAUGUGGAGUAGAAAUCCCAAACAGUCCUCAUCAAUGCACCUCAAGAACCAUUUUAUGACCCUCAUAUAACACUUUACAUGACUGUUUAAUUUCCUAUUUAAAACAAAUUAACCGUUGCAUGCUCUAAUCAGGACACAAAGAAUCCCAGAUCUUGUCUGGAAGUAUGUGGAGGUUACUGAGAGGUUGUCCAGAUUGAUGGUUGCGCUGAGUGUAUGACCUUAGAAUGAACUUUGAGUAAACUUUGCUCUUUGUGCACUUGGCAGUCUGUAUUUGGAAAGCAUCAACUGUCUACAUUCAACGUAUUAAAUGUAAGGCAUAUGCUUUUCACAGA